rnacentral:rRNA from 1 species
AGAGUUUGAUCCUGGCUCAGGACGAACGCUGGCGGCGUGCCUAACACAUGCAAGUCGAACGAAGCAUUUAAGUGAAUUCCUUCGGGAUGAAGCUUUUAUGACUUAGUGGCGGACGGGUGAGUAACGCGUGAGCAACCUGCCUUUCAGAGGGGGAUAACAGUUGGAAACGACUGCUAAUACCGCAUAACAUAUAUUUAAGGCAUCUUAGAUAUAUCAAAGCCUUGGCGCUGAAAGAUGGGCUCGCGUCCGAUCAGAUAGUUGGUGAGGUAACGGCUCACCAAGUCGACGAUCGGUAGCCGGACUGAGAGGUUGAACGGCCACAUUGGGACUGAGACACGGCCCAGACUCCUACGGGAGGCAGCAGUGGGGGAUAUUGCACAAUGGGGGAAACCCUGAUGCAGCAACGCCGCGUGAGGGAAGACGGUCUUCGGAUUGUAAACCUUUGUCUUUGGUGAAGAAGAAAGUGACGGUAGCCAAGGAGGAAGCCACGGCUAACUACGUGCCAGCAGCCGCGGUAAUACGUAGGUGGCAAGCGUUGUCCGGAAUUACUGGGUGUAAAGGGAGCGCAGGCGGGAAUGCAAGUUGGAUGUGAAAUACCGCAGCUUAACUGCGGAGCUGCAUCCAAAACUGUGUUUCUUGAGUGAAGUAGAGGUAGGCGGAAUUCCGAGUGUAGCGGUGAAAUGCGUAGAUAUUCGGAGGUACACCGGUGGCGAAGGCGGCCUACUGGGCUUUUACUAACGCUGAGGCUCGAAAGUGUGGGGAGCAAACAGGAUUAGAUACCCUGGUAGUCCACACUGUAAAC